rnacentral:rRNA from 1 species
AGAGUUUGAUCAUGGCUCAGGAUAAACGCUGGCGGUGUACAUAAGACAUGCAAGUCGAACGGGAGAAGACAGGAAGAUUUAUCUACUUGUUGGACACCGUGGCGGACGGGUGAGUAACACGUAAGUAACCUGCCUAUAAGAGGGGAAUAACAGUGAGAAAUUACUGAUAAUACCGCAUAAGCUGGAGGUAUCGCAUGAUACAUUCAGAAAAGAUUUAUCGCUUAUAGAUGGGCUUGCGUCUGAUUAGCUAGUUGGUGAGAUAACAGCUCACCAAGGCGACGAUCAGUAGCCGGAUUGAGAGGUUGAACGGCCACAUUGGGACUGAGACACGGCCCAGACUCCUACGGGAGGCAGCAGUCGGGAAUAUUGCACAAUGGAGGAAACUCUGAUGCAGUGACACCGCGUAUAGGAAGAAGGUCUUAGGAUUGUAAGCUAUUGUCGUGUGAGAAGAAAAUGACCAUCACAGGAGGAAGCCCUGGCUAAAUAUGUGCCAGCAGCCGCGGUAAUACAUAUGGGGCGAGCGUUAUCCGGAUUUAUUGGGUGUAAAGGGUGCGUAGGCGGGAAAAUAAGUCAGUAUGUGAAAUCCCUCGGCUCAACUGAGGAACUGCAACUGAAACUAUUUUUCUUGAGUGUUGAAGGGGAAAGUGGAAUUCCUAGUGUAGCGGUGAAAUGCGUAGAGAUUAGGAGGAACACCAGUGGCGAAGGCGACUUUCUGGGCAACAACUGACGCUGAGGCACGAAAGUGUGGGGAGCAAACAGGAUUAGAUACCCUGGUAGUCCAA